rnacentral:rRNA from 1 species
CCGUAACUUCGGGAGAAGGUGCGCCCUUUGGUGUGGUCACGUGCGUGACUGAGCAUCGAAGGGUCGCAGUAACCUGUCCGCUGCGACUGUUUAUCAAAAACACAGCACUCUGCAAACACGAAAGUGGACGUAUAGGGUGUGACGCCUGCCCGGUGCUGGAAGGUUAAUUGAUGGGGUCAGCCGCAAGGCGAAGCUCUUGAUCGAAGCCCCAGUAAACGGCGGCCGUAACAAUAACGGUCCUAAGGUAGCGAAAUUCCUUGUCGGGUAAGUUCCGACCUGCACGAAUGGCGUAACGACAGCGGCGCUGUCUCCACCCGAGACUCAGUGAAAUUGAAAUCGCUGUGAAGAUGCAGCGUUCCCGCGGCAAGACGGAAAGACCCCGUGAACCUUUACUAUAGCUUUACACUGAACGUUGAGUUCUUCUGUGUAGGGUAGGUGGGAGGCUAUGAAACCAGGACGCUAGUUCUGGUGGAGCCAUCCUUGAAAUAUCACCCUGAAGUGCUUGACGUUCUAACCUAGGCCCGUAAUCCGGGUCAGGGACCGUGUAUGGUGGGUAGUUUGACUGGGGCGGUCUCCUCCCAAAGAGUAACGGAGGAGCACGAAGGUACGCUCAGCGCGGUCGGACAUCGCGCACUGUGUGCAAAGGCAUAAGCGUGCUUGACUGCGAGAUCACGGAUCAAGCAGGUACGAAAGUAGGUCUUAGUGAUCCGGUGGUUCUGUAUGGAAGGGCCAUCGCUCAACGGAUAAAAGGUACUCCGGGGAUAACAGGCUGAUACCGCCCAAGAGUUCAUAUCGACGGCGGUGUUUGGCACCUCGAUGUCGGCUCAUCACAUCCUGGGGCUGUAGCCGGUCCCAAGGGUAUGGCUGUUCGCCAUUUAAAGUGGUACGCGAGCUGGGUUCAGAACGUCGUGAGACAGUUCGGUCCCUAUCUGUCGUGGGCGUUGGAGAUUUGAGGGGGGCUGCUCCUAGUACGAGAGGACCGGAGUGGACGUUCCGCUGGUGUUCGGGUUGUCAUGCCCAUGGCAUUGCCCGGUAGCUACGAACGGAAGUGAUAACCGCUGAAAGCAUCUAAGCGGGAAGCACGCCCCAAGAUGAGAUCUCCCGAGAGCUUGACUCUCCUAAAGGCACCAUCAAGACUAGGUGGUUGAUAGGUCAGGUGUGGAAGCGCAGCAAUGCGUUGAGCUAACUGAUACUAAUGAGCCGUGAGGCUUGACCG